rnacentral:rRNA from 1 species
GGCGUGCCUAACACAUGCAAGUCGAACGGGGAGUUAGCAAUAACUCCUAGUGGCGAACGGGUGAGUAACGCGUAGACAACCUACCUUCUAGCUGGGGACAACACCGCGAAAGUGGUGCUAAUACCGAAUGUUGCGCGGAGGCUGCAUAGCUUCCGCACUAAAGGUGGCCUCUGAAUAUGCUACCGCUAGAAGAUGGGUCUGCGUCUGAUUAGCUAGUAGGCGGGGUAACGGCCCACCUAGGCGACGAUCAGUAGCCGGUCUGAGAGGAUGAACGGCCACACUGGGACUGAGACACGGCCCAGACUCCUACGGGAGGCAGCAGUGGGGAAUCUUCCGCAAUGGACGAAAGUCUGACGGAGCAACGCCGCGUGAGUGACGAAGGCCUUCGGGUUGUAAAGCUCUGUUAUCGAGGAAGAACACUUACUAUGUGAAUAAUGUAGUGAGUUGACGGUACUCGAGGAGGAAGCCACGGCUAACUACGUGCCAGCAGCCGCGGUAAUACGUAGGUGGCGAGCGUUGUCCGGAAUUAUUGGGCGUAAAGCGCGCGCAGGCGGGAAAGUAAGUCUAUUCUAAAAGUUCGGGGCUCAACCCCG